AUUUAAAUAGCUUAAUGAGAGCGUAAUAUUGAAGAUAUUAAGGUGAUUUUUUUUCUUUAAAUA
rnacentral:tRNA from 1 species